rnacentral:rRNA from 1 species
AUUGAACGCUGGCGGCAUGCUUUACACAUGCAAGUCGAACGGCAGCGCGGGCUUCGGCCUGGCGGCGAGUGGCGAACGGGUGAGUAAUACAUCGGAACGUGCCCAGUAGUGGGGGAUAGCUCGGCGAAAGCCGGAUUAAUACCGCAUACGACCUGAGGGUGAAAGCGGGGGAUCUUCGGACCUCGCGCUAUUGGAGCGGCCGAUGGCAGAUUAGCUAGUUGGUGGGGUAAAGGCCUACCAAGGCGACGAUCUGUAGCUGGUCUGAGAGGACGACCAGCCACACUGGGACUGAGACACGGCCCAGACUCCUACGGGAGGCAGCAGUGGGGAAUUUUGGACAAUGGGCGAAAGCCUGAUCCAGCAAUGCCGCGUGUGUGAUGAAGGCCUUCGGGUUGUGAAGCACUUUUGGCGGGAACGAAAAGGACUGUGCCAAUACCACGGUUCGAUGACGGUACCCGCAGAAUAAGCACCGGCUAACUACGUG